rnacentral:rRNA from 1 species
CCUACGGGAGGCAGCAGUGGGGAAUCUUGCGCAAUGGGCGAAAGCCUGACGCAGCCAUGCCGCGUGAAUGAUGAAGGUCUUAGGAUUGUAAAAUUCUUUCACCGGGGGACGAUAAUGACGGUACCCGGAGAAGAAGCCCCGGCUAACUUCGUGCCAGCAGCCGCGGUAAUACGAAGGGGGCUAGCGUUGCUCGGAAUUACUGGGCGUAAAGGGAGCGUAGGCGGAUAGUUUAGUCAGAGGUGAAAGCCCAGGGCUCAACCUUGGAAUUGCCUUUGAUACUGGCUAUCUUGAGUGUGGGAGAGGUUAGCGGAACUCCGAGUGUAGAGGUGAAAUUCGUAGAUAUUCGGAAGAACACCAGUGGCGAAGGCGGCUAACUGGCCCAUUACUGACGCUGAGGCUCGAAAGCGUGGGGAGCAAACAGGAUUAGAUACCCUGGUAGUCCACGCCGUAAACGAUGAGUGCUAGUUGUCGGCAUGCAUGCAUGUCGGUGACGCGAGCUACGACAUAAGUACACUCCGCCGUCGGGAGGUACGGUCGGCGAGAUAAACUACAANAGAAGUUAGACGGCGNGAGACGUGCCGAACGGACGACCGACGAGGGAGGUAGG